rnacentral:rRNA from 1 species
UCCUACGGGGGGCAGCAGUAGGGAAUCUUCCACAAUGGGCGAAAGCCUGAUGGAGCAACGCCGCGUGGGUGAAGAAGGUCCUCGGAUCGUAAAACCCUGUUGUUAGAGAAGAAAGUGCGUGAGAGUAACCGUUCACGUUUCGACGGUAUCUAACCAGAAAGCCACGGCUAACUACGUGCCAGCAGCCGCGGUAAUACGUAGGUGGCAAGCGUUAUCCGGAUUUAUUGGGCGUAAAGGGAACGCAGGCGGUCUUUUAAGUCUGAUGUGAAAGCCUUCGGCUUAACCGGAGUAGUGAAUUGGAAAUG